AAUAGAUACCCCGGUAGUCCACGCCGUAAACGAUGUCGACUUGGAGGUUGUGCCCUUGAGGCGUGGCUUCCGGAGCUAACGCGUUAAGUCGACCGCCUGGGGAGUACGGCCGCAAGGUUAAAACUCAAAUGAAUUGACGGGGGCCCGCACAAGCGGUGGAGCAUGUGGUUUAAUUCGAUGCAACGCGAAGAACCUUACCUGGUCUUGACAUCCACAGAAUUCUGCAGAGAUGCGGAAGUGCCUUCGGGAACUGUGAGACAGGUGCUGCAUGGCUGUCGUCAGCUCGUGUUGUGAAAUGUUGGGUUAAGUCCCGCAACGAGCGCAACCCUUAUCCUUUGUUGCCAGCGGUCCGGCCGGGAACUCAAAGGAGACUGCCAGUGAUAAACUGGAGGAAGGUGGGGAUGACGUCAAGUCAUCAUGGCCCUUACGACCAGGGCUACACACGUGCUACAAUGGCGCAUACAAAGAGAAGCGACCCCGCGAGGGCAAGCGGACCUCAUAAAGUGCGUCGUAGUCCGGAUUGGAGUCUGCAAC
rnacentral:rRNA from 1 species